AUGACUCUCGGCAACGGAUAUCUUCGCUCUUGCAUCGAUGAAGAACGUAGCGAAAUGCGAUACUUGGUGUGAAUUGCAGAAGCCCGUGAACCAUCGAGUCUUUGAACGCAAGUUGCGCCCAAAGCCAUUAGGUUGAGGGCACGCCUGCCUGGGUGUCACAC
rnacentral:rRNA from 6 species